rnacentral:rRNA from 1 species
UACGUAGGGUGCAAGCGUUGUCCGGAAUUACUGGGCGUAAAGAGCUCGUAGGUGGUUUGUCGCGUUGUCCGUGAAAACUCACAACUCAAUUGUGGGCGUGCGGGCGAUACGGGCAGACUGGAGUACUGCAGGGGAGACUGGAAUUCCUGGUGUAGCGGUGGAAUGCGCAGAGUAUCAGGAGGAACACCGGUGGCGAAGGCGGGUCUCUGGGCAGUAACUGACGCUGAGGAGCGAAAGCGUGGGGAGCGAACAGGAUUAGAUACC